GGAAUCUAUUAUAAUUUUAAUUUUUCUAAUUAUUCAAUACAUUUUAUAUUUCAUUAAUUUCUUUUAACUAAAAUAGAGCAUUUAAUGAAAUUGUUUUAAAGUAAAAAAGAUGUAAUAUUUAUAAGAAAUCGACCUAAAUUAAAUGUCUUAGAAAUUACAACAAUUAUUUGAAACGUACUUAUAUUAGAUGCCUGUAGCUGGAACCAGUAACUGAAAAAAUAAAAAAAAUAAUUAAAAUAAUAUCAUCAAUCACUUAAACUUGUAAAGAUUGAAUAAAUUAUUAAAUUUACAAUUACCUCAUAAUCUAUC
rnacentral:lncRNA from 1 species